rnacentral:rRNA from 1 species
CGCAUCUGUGCAUGCAGCAUAUCAAUAAGCGGAGGAAAAGAAACUAACAAGGAUUCCCUAGUAACGGCGAGUGAAGCGGGAAGAGCUCAAAUUUGAAAUCUUCAAGGUUUUACCUUGACGAAUUGUAGUUUAAAGAAGUGUUUUCUGUUGAAGUUUUGGUAAAAGUUCUUUGGAAUAGGACAUCAUAGAGGGUGAGAAUCCCGUAUUUGACCAUUAUUUUCAGCUGUGUGAUACACUUUCAAAGAGUCGGAUUGUUUGGGAAUGCAGUCCAAAAUGGGUGGUAAAUUUCAUCUAAAGCUAAAUAUUGGCGAGAGACCGAUAGCGAACAAGUACCGUGAGGGAAAGAUGAAAAGAACUUUGAAAAGAGAGUUAAACAGUACGUGAAAUUGUCAAAAGGGAAGCGUUUGACACCAGUGUUGUUUUCUCGAAAAUCAAUUAAAAAGAGUUAGAUUUUGUUGUGUAUUGACCUUAACAGCUUGCAUUUCAAUUUUCUUGCUUUUUUUAAUGCACUUUUCGUUUAACAAGUCAACAUCAGUUUCUUUUGUUGUAAAAAGGUCAUUGGAAGGUGGCUUUCUUUUCGGAGAAAGUGUUUAUAGCCUUUGACUCCUGCAAUCGGAGAGACUGAGGUCUGCAGCGUAGAUCCUUCGGGGUUAGAUACAUUUGUGCUAAGUUAUAGCUUUUUAUAGACAACUUGUUGACUAUGAUUAGUCUUGUAGCUUACUCGCUUAUGCUAUUUUACCUACGCUUAGGAUGUUGAUGUGAUACUGCGAGCA